rnacentral:rRNA from 1 species
UACGGAAGGGGCAAGCGUUGUUCGGAAUCAUUGGGCGUAAAGGGCGCGUAGGUGGUUCUGUAUGUCUACCGUGAAAGCGUACGGCUCAACCGUAUUUUGUCGGUAGAAACUGCAGGACUGAGGCUGGGAGGGGCUGGUGGAAUUCCCUGUGUAGCGGUGAAAUGCGUAGAGAUGGGGGAGAACACUCGUGGCGAAGGCGGCCAGCUAGACCAGUUCUGACACUGAGGCGCGAUAGCGUGGGGAGCAAACAGG